ACUGGGCACAGUGGCGCCUGCCUAUAGUCCCAGCUACUUGGGAGGCUGAGGCAGAAGGAUCGCUUGAGCCCAGGAGUUUUGUGGUGUAGUGUGCUAUGCAGGUCAGGUGUCUACACUAAGUUUGGCAUCAAUAUGGUGACCUUCCAGGAGUCGGGACCACCAGGUUGCGUAAAGAGGGGUGAUUUGGCCCAGGUCAGAGAUGGAGCAGGUCAAAAUUCUGGGGCUGAACAAUAGUCUAAUUGUACCUGUGAAUAGUCACUGCCCUACAGCCUGGGCAAUAAAGCAAAACUUCAUCUCC
rnacentral:SRP_RNA from 1 species